rnacentral:rRNA from 1 species
GCGUGCAGGAUGAAGGCCUUCGGGUUGUAAACUGCUUUUGUACGGAACGAAACGGCUCGGCCUAAUAUGCUAAGCUAAUGACGGUACCGUAAGAAUAAGCACCGGCUAACUACGUGCCAGCAGCCGCGGUAAUACGUAGGGUGCGAGCGUUAAUCGGAAUUACUGGGCGUAAAGCGUGCGCAGGCGGUUUUGUAAGACAGAUGUGAAAUCCCCGGGCUUAACCUGGGACCUGCAUUUGUGACUGCAAAGCUAGAGUACGGCAGAGGGGGAUGGAAUUCCGCGUGUAGCAGUGAAAUGCGU